UACGUAGGGUGCAAGCGUUAUCCGGAAUUACUGGGCGUAAAGGGCUCGUAGGUGGCCAACUAAGUCAGACGUGAAAUCCCUCGGCUUAACCGGGGAACUGCGUCUGAUACUGGAUGGCUUGAGUUUGGGAGAGGGACGCGGAAUUCCUGGUGUAGCGGUGAAAUGCGCAGAUAUCAGGAGGAACACCGGUGGCGAAGGCGGGUCUCUGGGCCGUAACUGACGCUGAGGAGCGAAAGCAUGGGGAGCGAACAGG
rnacentral:rRNA from 1 species